GAGUAACACGUGGGAACGUGCCCAAAGGUACGGAACAACUCCGGGAAACUGGAGCUAAUACCGUAUGUGCCCGAAAGGGGAAAGAUUUAUCGCCUUUGGAUCGGCCCACGUCUGAUUAGCUAGUUGGCGGUGUAAUGGACCACCAAGGCGACGAUCAGUAGCUGGUCUGAGAGGAUGACCAGCCACACUGGGACUGAGACACGGCCCAGACUCCUACGGGAGGCAGCAGUAGGGAAUAUUGGACAAUGGGCGAAAGCCUGAUCCAGCCAUGCCGCGUGAGUGAUGAAGGCCUUAGGGUUGUAAAGCUCUUUCGCCAGGGACGAUAAUGACGGUACCUGGAUAAGAAGCCCCGGCUAACUUCGUGCCAGCAGCCGCGGUAAUACGAAGGGGGCUAGCGUUGUUCGGAAUUACUGGGCGUAAAGCGUAUGCAGGCGGACUUUUAAGUCGGGGGUGAAAUCCCGAGGCUCAACCUCGGAACUGCCUUCGAUACUGGAAGUCUUGAGUCCGGGAGAGGUGAGUGGAACUGCGAGUGUAGAGGUGAAAUUCGUAGAUAUUCGCAAGAACACCAGUGGCGAAGGCGGCUCACUGGCCCGGUACUGACGCUGAGAUACGAAA
rnacentral:rRNA from 1 species